GAUGAACGCUGGCGGCAUGCCUAAGACAUGCAAGUCGAACGAAGUGGUCUGAUGAAGAUAGAGUGCUUGCACAAAGUCAGAUUUAGAUACCACUUAGUGGCAGACGGGUGAGUAACACGUGGGUAAUCUACCCUAAAGACUGGGACAACAGUUAGAAAUGACUGCUAAUACCGGAUGAUUCAUAUUUAGAAAACUAGAUGUGCUAAAAGGAGCUUUACAGCUUCACUUUGGGAUGAGCUCGCGGCGCAUUAGCUAGUUGGUAGGGUAAUGGCCUACCAAGGCUACGAUGCGUAUCCGAGCUGAGAGGCUGAACGGACACACUGGGACUGAGACACGGCCCAGACUCCUACGGGAGACAGCAGUUAGGAAUAUUCGUCAAUGGGGGAAACCCUGAACGAGCAAUGCCGCGUGAGUGAUGAAGGUCUUAUUGAUCGUAAAGCUCUGUUGUAAGAGACG
rnacentral:rRNA from 1 species